UCUGAUUUGGUAUUACUGUAUCCAUUUUUGUUCUUUGAUAAGAGAAUGUAUCAGAUCGGUGAUAUAUAGAUUCCUUUAAUCUGAUAGAGAUCUCUCUGAUUAGAAUGUAAUGUCUGAAAAUAUGCAAUGCAAAAAUCACAAUCCAGAAACUUGGUUUGUUUCUAUCAAAUUGUUGUUAAUGGCAAGUUUUCAUGAUGGUUUCUUUCUGAAAUUGAUUUUGUUGACUAUCUGUGGCUAUUGUUAGUGUCACCACCCGAAAACUUACUUUUGAUGUAGUUGGGAGGGAGUUAGAUGAAGAAUUAGGGAAAGGCACUGAUCAUUUAUUUAUUAUUUUUAUUUUUUAUGGCUAAUUGAAAUUUCUAUUACAAAACUACGGAAAAGUGGCAGAAGUACUGGAUAGAAAGAGAGUGGAGGAUGCAUGUUUAACCUGGUUUUCACAUUCCACAUUCUAUUUAGCUUGCGCUGCAAGCCAAUCUGCAAUACCUUUAGCAUUUCUGGGCAGUACUGCAGUAGACUCCAUCUAUUUAUUUAUUUAUUUUUAUUUUUGGGCAAUCUAGACCCCAUCCAUUCACUGCUGAAACUCAGAUUGAAGUUCUAAAGGGUAGAUUUUCACCUUGAUCAAGAGGGCAGAUCUAAACUUCUCAUGCAUUUAGACCAAACUGCAAAAGAAAUCCAACAAGUCACCUCCCUUUUCAUAACUUCAUUAGACCCCAACUGAUCAAUUAUGCACUCCACGUAGCCAUACAACAAAUAUUGUUACAGAGGCCAAGCUAACUUUAUAACAAAAAAACGCAAAACCAAAUUAACCACACUUUAUUAGUUCAAGGACACAGUAACCAGAAAUUAAUGUUCAAUAGUUUCAGGAAACUCCUGACAUAUUGGGCACAAUUAUGGUGAGGUCGAUCACAACCCCUUCACAACUGCUUAACCACUGUACAAGCAGCAUUAGCAGAAGCCCUUGAGAGGAAAUGUUAACUUUAGGAAGGCAUUCGGCAUUAUUGAGGAGCAAUGUUAUGAGAGCAGUGGCUAGAUUGUAUGGAAUGCAACUUUCUGUCAAUAUAAAUUGCAUGCAAUGGCAGCAUGAUCUAACAGUGUGUGCGCCCUUUUUCUAAUAAGGCAACCAGUCUCUCUUCCUUCCAGGUAUCAUAAAAUAGGAAUAGACUCAUCAUGCACUUGCAUUAACUUCGUCCUCAUAUGAAUAUUGCUUGAAGGGGUCUAGGUUCUAUGAAAAAAAUUCCUAGUGAUUGAUUAAGUCAACCACUCAUUGAGUUGGUGAUCCUGUAACUUUCCCACGGAAUGCCUGGAAUCCAUCUAUCCCGCCAGUUUACAAUUGAUAUUUGACAUCUCCAGGCACUGAUCAUUUACUUAGGAAAACAAGUUUUUCAUAUUUUUACAACAAAUUGUUCAUUUAUCUACAAACGGACUCAUCUAGAAAACCUUGACAAUGAAAACGGGAGGGAAAAUACUGAAAUGGACCUCAUCCAAACAUUAUGAAUAGAAAUUCCACUGGAAUCCUAGAGUUGAUAGUAAUUUGCAAAGUGAGUUCCUUACAAUGAAGUAUGAGUUCUCUAUUAUAAGUGCAAGGGAAACAAGUAGCGGACAACACUUAGCUUUUAGCUUAAGCAUUCAUUACUUAACUUAUGAACUGCUAGUGCUUGAAACCAUUGCUUAGUCUGGUCAAGAAUGAUAUUGCAGAGGAAAGAUAAAGUAAGAACCAAUUUUGGUACUAAACAUUUUUAUAGUAAGAGAGGAGUUCCUCUGACAAUUUCUUGGUUGAUUAACUCAAAUGUCUCUAGAUGGUUUAAGUUUACUCAGAAUGUUCAAUAUGUUUCAUGAGUAGGAAAUUGAAUUUGGAAUUUGAUAAAUACUUUGUAGUUGAGAACUGUUGUAAAUCAUUAUGGCUAUAUCAUGUAAAUAGAUAUAGGGUAAAUCAUUAUGUUGUUAUAGGCUUACCCUUUCCAUGUUUUAUGGAUGACUUUAGGAAUCCUUGUUUUAUGGAGGACUUUAGGGGUCCUUGUUUUAUGGAGGACUUUAGGCUACAUGUUCCCUAUCUUCCACUAUAUGUAGUCCAUUUCUCAUCCAUGUUAUGAGAUGAAUACAGAAAAUACUACACUCCUUCUCUGCAUCUAAACUCUCUCUCUCUCUCAAGUUCUUUGAAGCAAAGCUCUCUCCAUUUUCUGCAUGAAACACUUUCUAUGUUCGUUUUACAACACGUUAUCAGCACGAAUAGCUCUACGAUUUGGAUUGCAGAUUGACAAGAGGAGAGGUGAAUAACUCUUGGGUUGCAGAGAAGAGGCAGUUCAUCAUUCAAUCAACUUCACUCUACCAGCUCUACAACCAAGCAAGAUACAAUGAGGCUGUGUACUUAAGAGAGCCUCGCUCCACCCAAACCUCAUACUCUUACCUGGUCGUAUUUAAUUGGAGUUACCAAAAGGGUUGAGUAAUAACUUUUCAUUCCUUGGCAGACCAGCUUGAGCCCAGCAGGCCCACUCUCCCUCUGCGGGACCUAGCAGCCUAGCAGGCCUCACACACCAUUUGAAUUACGCAUGAAAGGCCGGAUCACAAGCUCGCAGACUAAGCCCGAUAGGCUUCACUAUCAAGCCCACUCCUUUGGUCCAGCAGAAUCAAAUAAAAGGAAAAAUGAUUUGAUAUUGUAAAUAGAUUCACCAUAUUUAAUAUGUGUAAUUAAUUGCCAGAAGCAUUUAUUCACAUAAUUGUGUGAUAAUUAAUAUGUUAUUUUACUAGCAUGCAAUUAAUAUCUCAAUUGAUUUGUGAUUUCCAUUUAUCCAAUUUGUGAGAUUAUUUCAAUUUGCUCAAUUCAAUAUUAUUGUGUUACUUGUCUAAAUUUUCGCACUAGAAUAUAUGUGUAGAAAAUGCAGGUACCUAAUGAACUAGAAGUUCUAAAUGAACCAGUAGUUCAUUCACAUAUCGAACCUGUAGUUUCGAUAAUGCCAUUUAAGAAACUUGAAGUUUCCUUCAUAAAUUCACCACACAUGAUAAAACCAGUAGAUUUUACAUGUUUAAUCCGAUUUUCCAUACCAUGUUAUAGAACCUGAAAUUCCUAUUAGUUGCUUAUGGACGAUACUACCCAAAGCACUAAGAUUAUUUGUUCCUUUCCUGUAAGAAAUGCCAAAUCUCAACAAACUUGACUUUGUUGCUUUGGAGGUUUCCAGAAGAAACUAUCUAAAGUGAACUCAAGAUGUGAAAAUUCAUCUGAUUGCAAAGAAGAUGAGAUCAACAAUCAAUGCUAACAAUGUCGUCAUUGAGGCUUUUAAUAUGAGUGCCAUAAUUUUCAAAGGAAACAUAUGGAGAAAACACUCCAAGUUGAGUAUCCGAUGAAGAGGAUACACAGACUCUUUGGGUCGCUCUAGAAGAGCACUUUCACCAUCAAAUGACCAUUUUCUUGCUUGAAGCAAGACAUGAUUGGCAGAACGAAAUUAGCCCAUAUGACCGUCUGCCACUUGGCCAAAGCCCAAGAGGCCAUGUAAUCAGGCUCCACGUGGCCAAGGCCCACGUGGUAGGAACCAUGAUGCCAUAACUCAGCAAGCCCAAGUUGAAAGGAACACUGGUCCGGCCCGCUGCCACCAGAAUCAGCAUGAUCUUUGUUAUCAAUGUGAAGGAAUUGACUGCUGGUCCCGCACCUGUUGUGCGAUAGCCUAAGCAGUAGAUGAGUAUUACGCCGGUCGCGGAACUCGAAAUACCAACUUUAUUAAAGGGUCAUUUUCUAUCGAUUCCACACUAGAGAUCACGGAUUUUCAGGCAGUUACUGAACAUACCAAGGAUUAGAACUCGAAGACAUGGGUAUA